UGAGGAAUAUUGGUCAAUGGGCGAGAGCCUGAACCAGCCAAGUCGCGUGAAGGAUGACUGUCUUAUGGAUUGUAAACUUCUUUUGUAGGGGAAUAAAGAGGGGCACGUGUGCCUCAGUGAAUGUACCCUACGAAUAAGCAUCGGCUAACUCCGUGCCAGCAGCCGCGGUAAUACGGAGGAUGCGAGCGUUAUCCGGAUUUAUUGGGUUUAAAGGGUGCGUAGGCGGCCUGUUAAGUCAGCGGUGAAAUCUAGGAGCUUAACUCCUAAAUUGCCAUUGAUACUGGCGGGCUUGAGUGUAGAUGAGGUAGGCGGAAUGCGUGGUGUAGCGGUGGAAUGCAUAGAUAUCACGCAGAACUCCGAUUGCGAAGGCAGCUUACUAAGGUACAACUGACGCUGAAGCACGAAAGCGUGGGUAUCAAACAGGAUUAGAUACCCUGGUAGUCCACGCAGUAAACGAUGAUAACUGGGCGUAUGCGAUAUACAGUAUGCUCCUAAGCGAAAGCGUUAAGUUAUCCACCUGGGGAGUACACCGGCAACGGUG
rnacentral:rRNA from 1 species